UUUGUCGACGGGAAAUCCAAUCAAGAAAACCCUGACCCUCAAGCAGCUACUGUAUUUGACCAGCUCACACCAGCUAGGCCUCCUCCAAAACUCAGAUAAAUAUUUGAGCCACCAAAAAAAAAAACGAGAACAGAUCGGUCUGAAUCGUUAAGAACUGAAGCUAACAUCAUAGAGGUACAUCCUUCCAAGAAUCCAUCAAAACAACAUGCUGAACAACUUCAAGAACUCUCUUCAAAAGACCACACUUUCCUGAAAUAAAUAAAAGAUGCCAAUAUUAAAAUAAAUCAGUUACAUGUAUUGUUAAAUAUUUUAAUACUAGCUGUAAAUGCUACUGCCUUUGAUGUUUGCUUUCUACAUGUAUAUCAUAAUGAAAUAUUGACAAGAUAAUAGCUAAUGUUU